AUGGCGGGCGCCCCUCCCCCAGCCUCGCUGCCGACUUGCUGUUUGAUCUCAGACUGCUGUGCUAGCAAUCAGCGAGACUCCGUGAGCAUAGGACCCUCUGAGCCAGGUGCGGGCUAUACUCUCCUGGGGCACCGUUUCCUAAGCCCAUCUGAAAAGCACAGUAUUCGGGUGGGAAUGGCCCGAUUUUCCAGGUGCCGUCUGUCACCCCUGGAAAGGGAACUCCCUGACCCCUUGUGCUUCCCGAGUGAGGCAAUGCCUCGCCCCAGCUUCGGCUGGCGCACGGUGCACUCACCCACUGACCUGCGCCCACUGUCUGGCACUCCCUAGUGAUAUGAACACGGUACCUCAGAUGGAAAUGCAGAAAUCACCUGUCUUCUGCGUCGCUCGUGCUGGGAGCUGUAGACUGGAGCUGUUCCUAUUCGGCCAUCUUGGCUCCUCCGUCAGCCAUUCUUAAAGGAUCACAGAAAACAGCAGUGUUCGGCAAUUAUGGUGCCUGCUACCCCCUUUGCCAGGAUUGUAAGUUUCCUGAGGCCUUCCCAGCCAUGCGGAACUGUGAGUCAAGUAAACCUCUUUCCUUUAUAAAGUACCCAGAUUCAGAACAUACAUAUGACGGUUGAGAAAGACACAUAUUCUGAUCAUGAAGAAAUAAACAGAAGUUAAAUAUGACUAAGCAGAAAGACAGAAGGACCAGGAAGAGUGAUGCUAACUUGGAGCCACUAUGCAGGCUCUAAACUCCUCUACAAUCAUCCUCCCUUGUGAGAAAAAUACAUAAGUCACUUUUAAAAUAAAUAGAAACCUGAACACACUUCUUAGCUGGUUUAAGUAUUUUAAAAACAUUGAUGAAUUAAACACAAAAAUACGGGGAAAUCUCAUUACUUACCUUAAAUUUUGAAAUUUUCUUUACAGAUCAUGAGUUACUUAAUGCUCUUUCACUCCUGAGUUUACAUUGUAAAUUAAUGUUAUGUCGGCUUUAAAAAAUAACCAAUUUAAAAUAAUGAUCUAAAUUUAUACUUCAAUUUUAACUAAUAGUAUGA